GAAUGUAAUAAUGCUAAGACUUUGAAAUUUUUCGGUCCUAAAUAAAAAUUUAUUAUAAAACAAGGUGAAGCAUUUAAAAAAAAAAAAAAAAAAGAGAAAAAAACCUUUAUCAAGUAUUAUAUAAGAUUAUAGCUAUAUGAUUCUUAUUGUAGUAAGAGAAAUUAAUUUUCCAACACAUCAUCUUCUUUGGUAACCAUGCUCCUUAUUUUGUAGUUGAGUUAUUUUUUCAAAUAAUAUUAAAUAGUAUUUUUAGAUUCUCUAUAAUAUAGGCACAAUC
rnacentral:lncRNA from 1 species